AUCGUUACUCCAGAACCCAGAGGGACACGGCUGAAUAACGAGUCACACACGAGUUUCUCAGGUCGACUCAAAGAAACCUGAGCAUCAACAAGCUUUAUUAUCAUCAUCAGAGAGUAUAGUCAUCAUCAUCUUCAUCAGUCCUGUUGCUAUGGGCCUGUGUGCUGGACUGCAGAAGGCUGUCGACAUGCAGCAGAGCCAAGCAGACGGACAGGUGGACAGACAGGAGCAGAGGUAGGCAGGUGGGCAGGAAGUGAGGUAGAGGGAGAUGGUUUGAAGGACAAAUAAAAGAUCAGAGGUAGACAGACAGAGUCAAGGUUGAAAAGUGGAACAAGUGAA